ACUGGGUCUUUUCAUCGGGAAUUGGUGGACCGCACUGGGAUAACACAGUCAUCUGUAAGCUGCAUCAUGCCAGCUGUUUGUAAUGCCAUAAUUAGGUUGACCCUAUGUUACAGUAGGUUCCUCUUCACUGCAGGAAAACAGGAGAAAUGGUAUGAGCUGCAUAGUCAUGCAAAAUCAGUGGUGGGCUAUUCAAAGAAUGCAGCCGAGACACCGAGUCUCUCUGUCGCCUAAUCUCAGGCAUGUUAGCGACCUUGACCCCCCAUUCCAUACAAGAGAAUGCUGCAGCAGUAAGGCUCCGUUCUGCCAUAAUGUGCCGUCCGUGGAUUGACUGCACAGCACAUCUUCAAAGACACGCCCUGAGCUGCUGGGCCGUGUGGGUCUUAGUGCGCGUGAGGGAAGUGGAGGAACAGUGGAUGUCAUCUGCGCUCACUCUGUAGACAUCGACUGGACCUCUGGUGGCACCCAUGUCAUCGUCUAA